AUGCAAGUCGAGUGCGCGGUUGUAGCAAUACAACUGGCGCACGGCGCACGGGUGCGUAACACGUGGGCAAUCUGCCCUCCGAUGGGGAAUAACCCCGCGAAAGCGGGGCUAAUUCCGCAUAACAUUCCCUGGACUCCGGUUCGGGGAUUCAAAGCAGCAAUGCGUCGGAGGAGGAGCCCGCGCCCGAUUAGCUAGUUGGUAGGGUAACGGCCUACCAAGGCUUUGAUCGGUAGCUGGUCUGAGAGGAUGGCCAGCCACACUGGAACUGAGACACGGUCCAGACUCCUACGGGAGGCAGCAGUGGGGAAUCUUGCGCAAUGGGCGAAAGCCUGACGCAGCGACGCCGCGUGGGGGAUGAAGCUUCUCGGAGUGUAAACCCCUUUCGACUGGGACGAAUGCCUCGCAAGAGGAGUGACGGUACCAGUAGAAGAAGCCCCGGCUAACUACGUGCCAGCAGCCGCGGUAAGACGUAGGGGGCCAGCGUUGUUCGGAAUUACUGGGUGUAAAGGGUUCGUAGGCGGUGUGGCAAGUCGGGAGUGAAAUUUCUGGGCUUAACCCAGAACCUGCUUCCGAAACUGCUGUGCUCGAGUGUGGGAGAGGCGCGUG
rnacentral:rRNA from 1 species